UACGGUGCCUCGACCGCGACCCCAG
rnacentral:rRNA from 1 species